UACGGGGGGGGCAAGCGUUGUUCGGAAUUACUGGGCGUAAAGCGCGUGUAGGCGGCUUUUCAAGUCGGACGUGAAAUCCCUGGGCUCAACCCAGGAACUGCGUCCGAUACUGGCUGGCUUGAAUCCGGGAGAGGGAUGUGGAAUUCCAGGUGUAGCGGUGAAAUGCGCAGAUAUCAGGAAGAACACCCGUGGCGAAAGCGGCUCUCUGGAACGGUACUGACGCUGAGACGCGAAAGCGUGGGGAGCGAACAGG
rnacentral:rRNA from 1 species